rnacentral:rRNA from 2 species
UACGGAGGGGACUAGCGUUGUUCGGAAUUACUGGGCGUAAAGCGCGCGUAGGCGGAUUUGCAAGUCGGGGGUGAAAGCCCGAGGCUCAACCUCGGAACUGCCCUCGAUACUGCAAAUCUCGAGUCCGAGAGAGGUGAGUGGAAUUCCUAGUGUAGAGGUGAAAUUCGUAGAUAUUAGGAAGAACACCAGUGGCGAAGGCGGCUCACUGGCUCGGUACUGACGCUGAGGCGCGAAAGCGUGGGGAGCAAACAGG